rfam:Rhinocladiella mackenziei CBS 650.93 unplaced genomic scaffold supercont1.6, whole genome shotgun sequence.
GCAAUCGACCAUAGGGUACAGAGACCAGGGCUUCCCGUUCGCUCAGCCGUACUUAAGCUGUACGCCGGUCAGUUAGUACCAAAGUGGGUGACCAUUUGGGAAUCCUGACUGUUGAUUGUU